UACUUCUCAUCAAACUUCUUCCAGUAGAUGUCUGAUUCUGGAUAUUUUGUUUUCUCUAGGGCAUGAGCAAUGGUACACUCUGUGACACCUAAUUUGUGUGCUAACAAAGAGGCAACAAUGUUUCCAUCACUGUAAUUUCCAAUGAUCAGAUCAGGCUUUCCUUGCAACUCUUUACCAAUUUCAGUGGCUUGUUGCCUCUUUGUUAGCACACAAAUUAGGUGUCACAGAGAGAUCCAUUUACGAACUAUUCCCUUCUCAGUUCUGAAGGGUACACGAAGGAUAUCUGAAUGCUCUGUUCCGAAUACUUUUUCCAGACGUUGACCACAAGUUGUUCCUACUGCAUCAGGAAGAAGUCUAGUAACAAUAAGAAUGCGAGGGGUGAUAUCAAGUCCUUGCUGCUUUAU
rnacentral:misc_RNA from 1 species